rnacentral:rRNA from 1 species
GACGAACGCUGGCGGCGUGCUUAACACAUGCAAGUCGAACGAUGAAGCUGGAGCUUGCUCCGGUGGAUUAGUGGCGAACGGGUGAGUAACACGUGAGCAAUCUGCCCUUGACUCUGGGAUAACUGCGGGAAACUGUAGCUAAUACCGGAUACGACACCUUGGGGCAUCCCAGGGUGUGGAAAGAAUUUCGGUCAAGGAUGAGCUCGCGGCCUAUCAGCUAGUUGGUGAGGUAAUGGCUCACCAAGGCGACGACGGGUAGCCGGCCUGAGAGGGUGACCGGCCACACUGGAACUGAGACACGGUCCAGACUCCUACGGGAGGCAGCAGUGGGGAAUAUUGCACAAUGGGCGAAAGCCUGAUGCAGCAACGCCGCGUGAGGGAUGAAGGCCUUCGGUUGUAAACCUCUUUAGUCAGGGAAGAAGCGAAAGUGACGGUACCUGCAGAAAAAGCACCGGCUAACUACGUAG